UACGUAGGGGGCAAGCGUUGUCCGGAUUUAUUGGGCGUAAAGGGCGUGUAGGCGGUUAGGUAGGUCCGUUGUGAAAACUCGAGGCUCAACCUCGAGACGCCGAUGGAAACCAUCUGACUAGAGUCCGGAAGAGGAGAGUGGAAUUCCUGGUGUAGCGGUGAAAUGCGCAGAUAUCAGGAAGAACACCCGUGGCUAAGGCGGCUCUCUAGUACGUGACUGACGCUGAGACGCGAAAGCGUGGGGAGCGAACAGG
rnacentral:rRNA from 1 species